rnacentral:rRNA from 1 species
CCUACGGGGGGCUGCAGUGGGGAAUAUUGGGCAAUGGACGCAAGUCUGACCCAGCAACGCCGCGUGAAGGAAGAAGGCUUUCGGGUUGUAAACUUCUUUUAAGGGGGACGAGCAGAAGGCGGUACCCUUUGAAUAAGCCACGGCGAACUACGGCCCAGCCGCCGCGGUAAUACGUAGGUGGCACGUGUUGUCCGGAUUUACUGGGUGUAAAGGGCGUGCAGCGGGAGAGACAAGUCAGAUGUGAAAUCCGCAGGCUCAACCUGGGAACUGCAUUUGAAACUGUUUCCCUUGAGUAUCGGAGAGGUCAUCGGAAUUCCUAGUGUAGCGGUGAAAUGCGUAGAUAUUAGGAGGAACACCAGUGGCGAAGGCGGAUGACUGGACGGCAACUGACGGUGAGGCGCGAAAGCGUGGGGAGCAAACAGGAUUAGAUACCCGGGUAGUC